GGACUACCGGGGUUUCUAAUCCUGUUUGCUACCCACGCUUUCGUGUCUCAGCGUCAGUUACGGUCCAGAAAGCCGUCUACACCACCGGUGUUCCUCCUGAUAUCUACGCAUUUCACCGCUACACCAGGAAUUCCACUUUCCUCUCCCGUACUCCAAGUCAUUCAGUAUUCGGCGCUCCCUCCCAGUUGAGCCGGGAGAUUUCACACCAAACUUAAAUCACCGCCUACACACCCUUUACGCCCAGUAACUCCGAACAACGCUCGCUGCCUACGUAUUACCGCGGCUGCUGGCAC
rnacentral:rRNA from 1 species